AACGGCCGCGGUAUCUUAACCGUGCAAAGGUAGCAUAAUCAUUUGCCUAUUAAUUGUAGGCUAGAAUGAAGGGGUUAACGAAAUAAAAACUGUCUCAAUUAGUCACCUAAAAAUUAUUAUCUGCUUGAAGAAAAGUAGAUAAACUCGAAGGACAAGAAGACCCUAUAGAGCUUAAUUUUAACUAUAGAACUAAACUAUACAAAUAUUCGGUUGGGGCGACCCGGGGCUAAAUAAUCACCCCCUACAUAAAAGAUAAAUUAAUCAAAUAAUUGACCCUUUAAAGAUCAUAAGACCAAGCUACCUUAGGGAUAACAGGCUAAUCCCACUCAAGAGUCCUUAUCAACAGUGGGGUUUGGCACCUCGAUGUUGGCUUAGG
rnacentral:rRNA from 1 species